AGGCACUGGCGAUCGAGAAGAUGGCAUUCGUAAGGCUACUUGAUAUUAUUUUUAUUAAUUAAGUAGAAAGAGAACGCAGUAACAGUAUCAGCAGCAACAAUAGCAACAAUUGAUGUUUCUUACCUGAAUAAAUGCAGAAAAUUUGGACCGAGGGAAACGGCGACAAGAUGCCGAUGAAGAAGGAUAUCAUGUC